GACGAACGCUGGCGGCGUGCUUAACACAUGCAAGUCGAGCGGAAAGGCCUCUUCGGGGGUACUCGAGCGGCGAACGGGUGAGUAACACGUGAGUAACCUGCCCCUGACUUUGGGAUAAGCCUGGGAAACUGGGUCUAAUACUGGAUAUUCAUGUCCUGCCGCAUGGUGGGGUGUGGAAAGAUUUUUUGGUUGGGGAUGGGCUCGCGGUCUAUCAGCUUGUUGGUGGGGUAAUGGCUUACCAAGGCUUUGACGGGUAGCCGGCCUGAGAGGGUGUCCGGCCACACUGGGACUGAGACACGGCCCAGACUCCUACGGGAGGCAGCAGUGGGGAAUAUUGCGCAAUGGGCGGAAGCCUGACGCAGCGACGCCGCGUGGGGGAUGACGGCCUUCGGGUUGUAAACCUCUUUCGACAGUGACGAAGCCUUUGGGUGACGGUAGCUGUAGAAGAAGCACCGGCCAACUACGUGCCAGCAGCCGCGGUAAUACGUAGGGUGCAAGCGUUGUCCGGAUUUAUUGGGCGUAAAGAGCUCGUAGGCGGUGUGUCGCGUCGAAAGUGAAAACUGCUGGCUUAACCGGCAGCUUGCUUUCGGUACGGGCAUGCUUGAGUGUGGUAGGGGAGACUGGAAUUCCUGGUGUAGCGGGUGAAAUGCGCAGAUAUCAGGAGGAACACCGGUGGCGAAGGCGGGUCUCUGGGCCAUUACUGACGCUGAGGAGCGAAAGCGUGGGGAGCGAACAGGAUUAGAUACCCUGGUAGUCCACGCUGUAAACGUUGGGCGCUAGGUGUGGCGACUGGUUCACGGUUGCUGUGCCGUAGCUAACGCAUUAAGCGCCCCGCCUGGGGAGUACGGCCGCAAGGCUAAAACUCAAAGGAAUUGACGGGGGCCCGCACAAGCGGCGGAGCAUGCGGCUUAAUUCGAUGCAACGCGAAGAACCUUACCUGGGCUUGACAUAUAUCGAAAACUCGCAGAGAUGCGGGGUCCUUCGGGGCGGUAUACAGGUGGUGCAUGGUUGUCGUCAGCUCGUGUCGUGAGAUGUUGGGUUAAGUCCCGCAACGAGCGCAACCCUUGCUCCAUGUUGCCAGCACGUGAUGGUGGGGACUCAUGGGGGACUGCCGGGGUCAACUCGGAGGAAGGUGGGGAUGACGUCAAAUCAUCAUGCCCUUUAUGUCCAGGGCUGCACGCAUGCUACAAUGGCCGGCACAAAGAGCUGCGAUACCGUGAGGUGGAGCGAAUCUCAAAAAACCGGUCUCAGUUCGGAUCGAAGUCUGCAACUCGACUUCGUGAAGUUGGAGUCGCUAGUAAUCGCAGAUCAGCAACGCUGCGGUGAAUACGUUCCCGGGCCUUGUACACACCGC
rnacentral:rRNA from 1 species